rnacentral:rRNA from 1 species
UACGUAGGGGGCAGGCGUUGUCCGGAUUUAUUGGGCGUAAAGAGCGUGUAGGCGGCCAGAUAGGUCCGUUGUGAAAACUCGAGGCUCAACCUCGAGACGCCGAUGGAAACCGUCUGGCUAGAGUCCGGAAGAGGAGAGUGGAAUUCCUGGUGUAGCGGUGAAAUGCGCAGAUAUCAGGAAGAACACCCGUGGCUAAGGCGGCUCUCUAGUACGGUACUGACGCUGAGACGCGAAAGCGUGGGGAGCGAACAGG